GCCUCGGUGGCUGCGAGGCAAAGCGCCAGUCUACGGAUCCCCAGGUGGCGGGUUCGAAUCCCGGCCGAGGUG
rnacentral:tRNA from 1 species